ACAGCAGCCAAGAAUGCUAUAGACAUCAUGGCAAGAGCUAAUCCCAGCAGAAGCACAGCCGACUUCAAAGCUAAACGCAUGGAACUAGGAUCUCCCAGUUGUGCCCACAGUAGAGUGACAGCAACAAUGACAGAGGCACAGUGAAACCUGCUUGAAAUGUAACUGUUGCAACUAGCGUGGCAACCACCAGAAUCGUAUUUAUCUUGUCUCUCCAACUUUCUGUCUCCAGUUGGUCUCCGAGCUUAAAACUCGUGCUUCUAGAAGUUGGUUUAUGUGCUCGUGGGGCAUCAACUGCUCUUAAGGCCAUGCAUGUAAGUCUCUGCAUUAUGAAUUGUUCGUUUUCAGAGUCAUUGUUGGUCAUUUAUGGUACUUGUAUUUUACAAUUUACUGAGAAAUAUCAUUAUAUUAAAAUCUACAUAACUUGUUAUUUGAGGCACUUACCUUGUGAAAUGAUACCAAUCCCACUUCAAUUUGUUCCUCGGCAAUGUCAAGUGCCAUCUGGCGAUUGUUAUUUAACAACCUAGGAAUCACUCUUCUGUCCCUCACAAGAAUGCCAACCAGCUUUGGAUGCGCAUGAAUGGUUGCAAGGUGUAAAGCUCCCUUGUAUCUGGCCGAUGCUGAAGCAUCAUUUGGAUCAUAUCUACAAGUCCUUUGCUGGCUGCUGAAUGGAUGGGAUGAAAGCCUUGUUUAUCUUUCUGCUCCCAACUGGAUUGUCCAUAAGGAGCCUUACAAUGAAUUCGAGCCACUUCUUCAUGCCCAUAUUUCAGAGCCUCGUGCAGGGCAGUGUUCCCUUCCUCGUUCUUUUCACUCAAACCACCUUCUGCAAAAUCCGAAUUGACUAGCAAUGUCACCAGUUGUGAACUGCCGGCUCUUGCUGCUAUAUGAAGUGCAGUGUCACCUCGGGCAUUCUUUUCAGCAACUAAGUCAGUCUCAUAGCUCUCCUCUUCAUCGAGCAAACCGGGAUAUUUGGGCACUGACAUAGAUUCGUCCCAUUGGGGGGAGAAAUCGAAAGUGAUGUGUCUAGUCAAAACGUAUGAAAUUAUGUCGUUUUGAUGUUAUUAAAAGUUACCACCAAGGUUGCGCAUAGCAUCUGCUCCCGACGAAGAGAUAUGUGAGGAGAGCCUCGUCGAUGCCAACACAACUUUAUGAUGAUGACCGUCAUCUUCGAGAACCAGUGAGUAGGGAUGUCAAUCGGGCUAACCAACUCAGAAGGUUGAACUAUUUGGAUGUGGGCUAUUCAAAUUAUAAAUUUUUAGCGUGUUUAUAAACACUAUUUCUAUAAGUUGCAGAUAGUGUACUAGCUAGUUAUAGACUUGCAGUAGAUUAUGCUCUAAUUUAGUGCUUGUUUUUAUUUAACGUCCAUUCUUUUAAUACAUGUACACACCAUUUUUGGACAUCAUGGACAUAUAUUUUAUCGAA